rnacentral:rRNA from 1 species
UGGGGAAUCUUGCACAAUGGGGGAAACCCUGAUGCAGCGACGCCGCGUGAGCGAUGGAGGUUUUCGAAUCGUAAAGCUCUGUCCUAUGGGAAGAUAAUGACGGUACCAUGGGAGGAAGCCCCGGCUAACUACGUGCCAGCAGCCGCGGUAAUACGUAGGGGGCGAGCGUUGUCCGGAAUUACUGGGCGUAAAGGGUUCGCAGGCGGCAUGGCAAGUCCGAUGUAAAAGGCGAAGGCUCAACCUUCGUAAGCAUCGGAAACUGUCAAGCUUGAGUGAAGGAGAGGCGAGUGGAAUUCCUAGUGUAGCGGUGGAAUGCGUAGAUAUUAGGAGGAAUACCGGUGGCGAAGGCGACUUGCUGGACUUCAACUGACGCUGAGGAACGAAAGCGUGGGUAGCAAACAGG